rnacentral:rRNA from 2 species
UGGGAGCUUGCUCCCUGAUGUUAGCGGCGGACGGGUGAGUAACACGUGGGUAACCUGCCUGUAAGACUGGGAUAACUCCGGGAAACCGGGGCUAAUACCGGAUGGUUGUCUGAACCGCAUGGUUCAGACAUAAAAGGUGGCUUCGGCUACCACUUACAGAUGGACCCGCGGCGCAUUAGCUAGUUGGUGAGGUAACGGCUCACCAAGGCGACGAUGCGUAGCCGACCUGAGAGGGUGAUCGGCCACACUGGGACUGAGACACGGCCCAGACUCCUACGGGAGGCAGCAGUAGGGAAUCUUCCGCAAUGGACGAAAGUCUGACGGAGCAACGCCGCGUGAGUGAUGAAGGUUUUCGGAUCGUAAAGCUCUGUUGUUAGGGAAGAACAAGUGCCGUUCAAAUAGGGCGGCACCUUGACGGUACCUAACCAGAAAGCCACGGCUAACUACGUGCCAGCAGCCGCGGGAAUACGUAGGUGGCAAGCGUUGUCCGGAAUUAUUGGGCGUAAAGGGCUCGCAGGCGGUUUCUUAAGUCUGAUGUGAAAGCCCCCGGCUCAACCGGGGAGGGUCAUUGGAAACUGGGGAACUUGAGUGCAGAAGAGGAGAGUGGAAUUCCACGUGUAGCGGUGAAAUGCGUAGAGAUGUGGAGGAACACCAGUGGCGAAGGCGACUCUCUGGUCUGUAACUGACGCUGAGGAGCGAAAGCGUGGGGAGCGAACAGGAUUAGAUACCCUGGUAGUCCACGCCGUAAACGAUGAGUGCUAAGUGUUAGGGGGUUUCCGCCCCUUAGUGCUGCAGCUAACGCAUUAAGCACUCCGCCU